CCUACGGGAGGCAGCAGUGAGGAAUAUUGGUCAAUGGACGAGAGUCUGAACCAGCCAAGUAGCGUGAAGGAUGACUGCCCUAUGGGUUGUAAACUUCUUUUAUAUGGGAAUAAAAUGCGCCACGUGUGGGGUUUUGUAUGUACCACAUGAAUAAGGAUCGGCUAAUUCCGUGCCAGCAGCCGCGGUAAUACGGAGGGUCCGAGCGUUAUCCGGAUUUAUUGGGUUUAAAGGGAGCGUAGGUGGAUUGUUAAGUCAGUUGUGAAAGUGUGUGGCUCAACCGUAGAAUUGCAGUUGAAACUGGCAGUCUUGAGUACAGUAGAGGUGGGCGGAAUUCGUGGUGUAGCGGUGAAAUGCUUAGAUAUCACGAAGAACUCCGAUUGCGAAGGCAGCAAACUGGAGUGCAACUGACGCUGAGGCUCGAAAGUGUGGGUAUCAAACAGGAUUAGAUACCCGUGUAGUC
rnacentral:rRNA from 1 species